rnacentral:rRNA from 1 species
ACAUGCAGUCGAGCGAGANCUUCGGGUCUAGCGGCGGANGGGUUAGUAACNCNNNNNAAUGUACCCUUCACUACGGAAUAGUCCCGGGAAACUGGGUUUAAUACCGUAUACGCCCUUCGGGGGAAAGAUUUAUCGGUGAAGGAUCAGCCCGCGUCUGAUUAGAUAGUUGGUGGGGUAAUGGCCUACCAAGUCUACGAUCAGUAGCUGGUUUGAGAGGAUGAUCAGCAACACUGGGACUGAGACACGGCCCAGACUCCUACGGGAGGCAGCAGUGGGGAAUCUUAGACAAUGGGCGCAAGCCUGAUCUAGCCAUGCCGCGUGAGUGAUGAAGGCCUUAGGGUCGUAAAGCUCUUUCGCUGGGGAAGAUAAUGACGGUACCCAGUAAAGAAACCCCGGCUAACUCCGUGCCAGCAGCCGCGGUAAUACGGAGGGGGUUAGCGUUGUUCGGAAUUACUGGGCGUAAAGCGCGCGUAGGCGGAUUGGANAGUUGGGGGUGAAAUCCCGGGGCUCAACCCCGGAACGGCCUCCAAAACUAUCAGUCUAGAGGUCGAGAGAGGUGAGUGNAAUUCCGAGUGUAGAGNUGAAAUUCGUAGAUAUUCGGAGGAACACCAGUGGCGAANGCGGCUCACUNNUCGAUACUGACGCUGAGGUGCGAAAGCNUGNNNGCAAANAGNAUUAGAUACCCU